UUAAGUUAUGAGUCAAUUCCCGAUAGGAUUCACGUCACAGUGAAGCUGCCUUGUAACCGAACGGUGCUUAAGAUUAUCGGUCAACUUAGCACCCACCAUAUCUAGGGGGAAUAUCCAUUG
rfam:Lactobacillus namurensis DSM 19117 NODE_105, whole genome shotgun sequence.